UUCGUUCGGGGCGCAUGUCGCUCUAUUUUCUUUUUCGUUUCAAAAUCUUCCGAUUUAUUUUAAUUUCCCUGACAUUCUAAUUUCAAACUUACCUUUUUUUUUAAUAAACACCUUUUUAUUUUUCGUUUUUUAUUUUUUUUUUUCUCGUGCACAGUGCUGCCGCGGCGUUUUGAAGAUACAGCUGUUAUUAGUCUUAUGUGAUGUGGGCACACGUGCAUCGCCGAGAAUUUGGCGGGAAGGAAUCUUGGGAAUUGCCGAGAAGAAUUCAAGAGAAUUGUAGAUUAAGGAAAACUAUUGUAAAAAUAUCAUUGAUAUUGAUCAAUAAUUGUAUUUUUUUCUUCUAUUUAUUUAUUUAUUUAUUUAUUUAUCAUAGAAUCAACAGCACUUGAACAGAAAUUACAUUUUAUCUUACAGGGUUAAACUUAAUGCCAAUUAUACAGAUUCUUGUUUUGUAAAUUAAAAAGUUAUAAACAGCUUCGAACAGAACGAAAAGAAAACAACGCUUUCGUCAUCAUUAUUAUAAUGAUUUAAACGUAUGUGAGUCGGUGACUUUGUGUGUUUGUUCGGGGCGGGCAAUAUCCGAAACUAGCGAACCUAUUUCGAAAAUUCUUUCACCAUUAGAAAGGUGCGUUAUCCAAGAUUGCUAUAGGCUAUAUAUUUUAUCUCAAAAUCACCACGGCAGCGGAAGCCCGUGCAACAUCUAGUAAUUUAUAAUGGUAAUAAAUAUUUUAAUAAUACUUAAUUAUAAAUUUAAGUCUUAGAAGUCGCUGGCAUCUCAUCAGCUAGAAGAGAGCUGCCGGUAUCCAAACUACUGAAUAGCAAACAUAGCUGAGAAAACUUUCGAUUAAAUUCCCCUUCAAAUUAAAAUAACCAAAUCAAAAUCGGUUCAACCGUUCGGCCGCUACAACGCCGCGGACAAACAAACAGAUAGACCGACACGUUAAACAUACCUAAAAAAUGCUAGAUUAUUAAAAGCUGUUAUGAAUAUUGUGACAAAAAUUGUAUAAUGAUUUCUAAGACAUUUUAUUAAAGAUCGGUCUUAUGACCUGGGUAAAUUAAUCUCAAAGUCCGCUUUGAACUUUACUCAGGUUUAAAAGGAGGCCAAACAUAUAAACUGAAUUCACCUGGGUGUUUGGAGUUUCGGGGUGAAACACUUGCAAUACCACUGUUCAUCUAGGUAAUAAUAAUAUCACCCAGGUGCACAAGGUGGCAUACAUCAAAAUAUUUAUUUGUAUGUUUUGUGUAAAAAAAUAUAUUUAUAAUAUAUAUAGGUACCAUCAAACUUACAUCUAUGUAAAAAAAAAUGUAUAAUAUAUAAUAUGUACCUUAUUUAUAUAACUGUUUCACAGUUUGAUGACGAAAAUUUAAAUGUUACGUUAAUUACAAGGUAUGAAGAAAGAACACUGAAAUGAAGGAAGAAAACUCAAAUAAUAUUUUGCAUUUUAACAUUGUGGCAAUAAUCCAUUAUUGCUCACAGUUUGGAUGCUGAAUAUAACCGCCACCUAUCGCCUAAACGCCGCGACAAGUUUCCGCUACUCGUCAACAGAUGGCGCUACGUGUACGAAGCUUCAUAGAUGGUGCUGCGGAUUUGACAAACUGGAAAAAACCGUAAUUCGGUGCGCCCUUGUCAUUCUUCUUGCCUGUGUGUUGAUACUACUGGACGGAGAACUGAUAAGGGCAUACUGGUUACAAUAACAUCGAUGGAUAACUCAAGAUUCUACAAGAUUUUGUGUUCGUGAAGACCUGAUAUUAUGUAUUCAAAUUCAAAAUUAAUUUGUAUUCCUUUUAAACAAUUCGGUACAUAUAGCUAGCAAGGUCUCACCAUUUAAGUUUGCAAAAACCUGUGGCUGGUGAGUCCUGCUCUUCAGAAACAUUGGUAUUACAUGCAAAAUAAAAUCAAUAUUAAUAUUAUGAUUGCUUAUACAAUACAAACAAUUUAUGGAAUAUAUUAUAGGUACGAAUAUGCAAUCGUAUACUUAUAUAAAUUUAAUAAUAUUGCCUAUAUUUAAUACUCCAAUAGGAGAAACAAUAUUACAAAUGUAUGUGUAGGGAAUAUACGAUUGAAAGAGAAUACUCGUUAAAACAAUUCAUUGAAAAAGUGCAACGUAAGUACAGAAAGUGACAUUAGCGCGCAAUAGACAAAAGGUUCCACGAGCGGGCCAUAAAUUAUAGAAUAUAUUUUUUUUAAUGCAUAGGCGUUGUUUAUAUUCUUCCAACAGUAUGAUAUAAAAUUCAAUUGUACAGUUUAUCCUGUAUUAAGUUACUCGAGUUAAUAGUGUGAAGUUUCUGCAAGAGGUAUACAAACAUUAUAGGUUUUAGUGUAUAUCUCUAAUUUAUUAUACAUGUAUAUUUACACAAAGCGAGUAUAUUUUUCUCCACACUGUCACCGAUCUCGGACACAGGCCGACGAGAAUGCGUGAACAUUGCGCAAUUGAUAUGAGAGCUUUUAUUUACCGCAACGAAAAACCAGCAAUCCGCUAAAGUUUGGCGAAUUGUUCGACGACAGAGUGGAGCCGACAUAAAAUAGUUUCAGUAGUAGAUAUACCCAAACUGAUUGUCCAUAUAGGUCGUGUCGUCGGUGCCAAUGGGCUGACAACUAGGGAUGCUGACGGCCAUGCGACCAUCCUGACAGAUGUGUCAAAUUCAAAUUCAAAUCAUUUAUUCAGAAAUUAGGCCUUCAAAGGCACUUUUUCUCGUCAAUCUUUAUAUUUAUAGUUAUUUCUCACAAGCUACAAACUACUGGCAUUUCGGAACGACCACUGCUGAGAAGAAAUGCCGAAAGAAACUCAUUUGAACAGUGUUGGUCCCUAUCAUGCCAGAUCGGCUUACCAUUAUUGUUUCUUACAAUGUUUUUGUACAGUACAUAAUGUACAUAGUCAAAAGGUAUAUGAAAACAGGUUAUGAUUGUGAUCCGAGUGCUGAUUAUAAUAUUAUGUGAUAUAAGUGUGAUCGAAUUUUCCACUUUCUUGAUGCUACUAUAGACACCUAGCAUCUACAAUUCACAGCUAAUAAUAAAGUAGUUGACAAGGUCAAAGAAUUGUAAAAAAUAUGUAUAAUCUAGACAAAAUAGAUAUACCUGGGUCAUUAUUAUAAUUCAUAGACUGUAACAAUGCAGCUGUGGAUCUCAAUACGAAGAUUUAAAGUUGAUAGGGACCAACACUGUUCAAAUGAGUUUCUUUCGGCAUUUCUUCACAGCAGUGGUCGUUCCGAAAUGCCAGUAGUUUGUAACUUGUGGGAAAUAACUGUAAAUAUAAAGAUUGACGAGAAAAAGUGCCUGUGAAGGUCUAAUUUCUGAAUAAAUGAUUUGAAUUUGAAUUUGUUGGAAAGUCCUGAUUUUUAAAAAGUAUGAAAUUAUAAAAAUUAUUUUAACCAUCAUAAAAAAACAAGAAUUUUGUAACAACUUUUAUUAAUAUCACCAUAAACGUAAUAUUUAAUGUAGCAAUCAAAUGGCGAACGUUUUCGCACGUUGUGACGUCACUGGUUCGUGUCACUCAGUACGGAGCGUUUGGACGGGUCAAAAAAUGUGUCAUUUUAUUUUUGUCAUAUCUUUGAAAGCAUUAUGGCUGUAUUUUUUGUCACUGGUGUUUCUAAUGAUAUAAGAGCCUUCGAAUAGUCAUCAAAACAAAAAGUUGGCAACUAUCCUAUUGUUAUCAUAAUAUUAAAAAAUGUUAAUAUUUACUUAUUACUUCGCAUAGAGGAACUACCAAGCUAUUUAUCUCACCGUUUCGGAUGUGCACGUGGAUUAUGAUCUGUAUAUAAUCUGUAAAGGAAAUUGCUGGCAACAACUGAAUGGGGAUGGCCCAGGACAGAGAUGGUUGGCGGAGACGGAAGGCCUAUGCCCAGCAAUGGGUCACGGAGGACUGCAGAUAAAUAAUAAAUAUAUAAGGACAAAUCAGACAGAUUGAACUAGCCCCAUAACAAGUUCGAGACUUGUGUUAUGGGAUACUAACUCAACGAUACUAUUCUCUCAGUGUCAGAUUGAGCUAGCCCCAAAGUAAGUUCGAGACUUGUGUUAUGGGAUACUAACUCAACGAUACUAUAUUUUAUAUAGAUAAACAUCCAAGACCCGGGCCAAUCAGAAAAAGAUCAUUUUCCAUCACGACCCGACCGGGGAUCGAACACGGGACUUCUCGGUUCAGAGGCAAGCACUUUACCACUGCGCCACCGAGGUCGUCUAAAUAAGAUGACGAUAAUAAUGAUAUCUGAUAAUCUGUAGUAACUGUGAAAGUACUGUGUCAAUAUCGUGUUUUUUUGUUAAUGUUUAUAUAAUUAGUUCCUUGCCUAUUUACCGAUGCAAAAUGUAACCAACUCGAACUAUGACAAACGUAGUACAGUAAACAGACAUUGUAUCAAGUUUCGUGUUGAAUCAAAGUAUUUGUCAGUGUUUUAACACCUAUGGAAAACAACGGACGUGCUGCGUCGUCGCAACGGAGCACGACUGAACAAUGAGACAUAACUCUAACACCAUAUCCAAUAAACUUACUUGUCUUCA